UGAUUAAGCCAUGCAAGUCGAGAGGGUUCGGCCCUCGGCGUACUGCUCAGUAACACGUGGAUAACCUGCCCUAGGGAAGGGGAUAACCCCGGGAAACUGGGGAUAAUACCCUAUAGAUUACAGAUGCUGGAAUGCCCUGUAAUCCAAAGUUCCGACGCCCUAGGAUGGAUCUGCGGCCGAUUAGGUUGUUGUUGGGGUAAUGGCCCAACAAGCCCGUAAUCGGUACGGGUUGUGGGAGCAAGAGCCCGGAGUUGGAUUCUGAGACACGAAUCCAGGCCCUACGGGGCGCAGCAGGCGCGAAAACUUUACAAUGCGGGCAACCGUGAUAAGGGAACCUCGAGUGCCUGUAAAUGCAGGCUGUUCAGGUGCCUAAAACACACCUGAAGAAAGGGCCGGGCAAGACCGGUGCCGGCCGCCGCGGUAAUACCGGCGGCUCGAGUGGUGGCCGCUUUUAUUGGGCUUAAAGCGUUCGUAGCUGGGUUGUUAAGUCUCUUGGGAAAUCUGGCGGCUUAACCGUCAGGCGUCUAAGGGAUACUGGCAAUCUUGGAACCGGGAGAGGUGAGGGGUACUUCGGGGGUAGGAGUGAAAUCCUGUAAUCCUCGAGGGACCACCUGUGGCGAAGGCGCCUCACCAGAACGGCUUCGACAGUGAGGGACGAAAGCUGGGGGAGCAAACCGGAUUAGAUACCCGGGUAGUCCCAGCCGUAAACUAUGCGCGUUAGGUGUAUCGGUGACCACGAGUUACCGAGGUGCCGAAGGGAAACCGUGAAACGUGCCGCCUGGGAAGUACGGUCGCAAGGCUGAAACUUAAAGGAAUUGGCGGGGGAGCA
rnacentral:rRNA from 1 species